rnacentral:rRNA from 1 species
UACGGAGGGUGCAAGCGUUAUCCGGAUUCACUGGGUUUAAAGGGUGCGUAGGAGGGCUGGUAAGUCAGUGGUGAAAUCCCCGAGCUUAACUUGGGAACUGCCGUUGAUACUAUCAGUCUUGAAUACCGUGGAGGUGAGCGGAAUAUGUCAUGUAGCGGUGAAAUGCUUAGAUAUGACAUAGAACACCAAUUGCGAAGGCAGCUCGCUACACGAAUAUUGACUCUGAGGCACGAAAGCGUGGGGAUCAAACAGG